CAAUAGCGUAUAUUUAAGUUGUUGCAGUUAAAAAGCUCGUAGUUGGAUUUCGGGUGGGACGCAGCGGUCUCGCAUUGCGUUUGUACUGCUGCAGCCCUCCUUCUUGCCGGGGGCGGCCUCUCGGACUUCACUGUCUGGGGGUCAGAAUCGGCGAUGUUACUUUGAGUAAAUUAGAGUGUUCAAAGCAAGCUUACGCUCUGAAUAUAAUAGCAUGGGAUAACACGACAGGACUCUGGCCUAUCGUGUUGGUCUAUAGGACCAGAGUAAUGAUUAAGAGGGACAGUCGGGGGCAUUCGUAUUCCGUUGUCAGAGGUUAAAUUCUUGGAUUUACGGAAGACGAACAUCUGCGAAAGCAUUUGCCAAGGAUGUUUUCAUUGA
rnacentral:rRNA from 1 species